rnacentral:rRNA from 1 species
GCAAUAUCGACUGUGUUGAAUAAAAUUCUGGGUAGAGUGUGAUAAUGACAUGUUCUAUCUAUAGGUCUUGACCAACAUACGUGCCAGCAGUCGCGGUAAGACGUUAAAGACGAGUGUUAUUCAUCUUGAAUCGGUUUAAAGCGUACCUAGACGAUUAAUAAAGCUAUAGAAAGGACUCAUUAACUAGAGUUACAUGUGAGGGAGCUCUAAAGUACUGUUGAGUGUAGAGAUGAAAUUCUGUUAUACCAGAUGAUUGGCACAGAUAGAGGCGAAGGCAUCUCCUUAUGUAAUAACUGACGUUGAAGGACGAAGGCUUUUAAAGUGAACAGGAUUAGUUACCCCAGUAAUCCAGGCAGAAAAUGAUGAAUGUCAUAGGUCAAAAUUUGGUCUAUAAAUGAAAGUGUAAGCAUUCCACCUCAAGAGUAAUUUGGCAACAUAGGAAUUGAAAUCAUUAGACCGUUUCUGAAACCAGUGGUGAAGUAUGUUAUUUAAUUUGAUGAUCCGCAAAAAACCUUACCACAAUAUGAAUAUAUAUUUUUAAUAUUUACAAGCGUUGCACGGCUGUUUAUAGUUAAUGUCGUGAGAUGGUGGUUAGUUCCAUUAAUUAACGAAAACCCUUACUUUAUUUAUAAAUAGAGUUGUUCCCCGCUAUAUUGGAUAUGAUAACAGGGAUCAAGACAAGUCAUCAUGGCCUUAAUAUUGUGGG